rnacentral:tRNA from 1 species
GGAGGGGUUGCCGAGUGGUCAAAGGCAGCAGACUGUAAAUCUGCCCGCUUACGCGUUCGUAGGUUCGAAUCCUACCUCCUCCAC